rnacentral:lncRNA from 1 species
AUGGUUUUGUUGCUUGAAAAUGUAUACAUUAUAGUUCUCAAUGGCAAGAGUUUAACAAUUUAUGCAUUUUUUUUCAUUUUGCAACUUCUGUAUUUCCGGGUGGAUGUACUUUCUGAAGAUAUGGCAAACAGUGCUGGAAGAUCUGACGAUCUUAAGAUGUUCAAAAAAAAGGUUCAUCGUCUGAAGUUUUCGGUGGUGCAUUUUCUUGAGGAAAAUGAGGUGGAUGUGGCACCAUCAUUAUGGUUGGCGAAGAGCAAUGGGGUUCUGAAUUGCUAUUGGCCGGCAAAUAAUGCCAGCGUUCUGGCAAGACGCUGUGCUCUGCCCGACAAGGUACUUUGGAAAAAGUACAAAGUUCGCGUUUUCUCUACAACAGACAGCUACAGCCUGGCCAGGGAGAGGGCAAGAAAGGGGCAAGACACCUCUCAGGUGGAAACGGAGGAGAUAAAUUCGAGGAGGAUAAACGUUCCUGCCAGGUACCAGGAGCCUGAAAGUGACGGUAUAUAUAUAUAUAUAUAUAUAUAUAUAUAUAUAUAUAUAUAUGAGUUCUCUGUUGAAUAUAUUGUAAGACUCAUGUUUUUAAUUUUUUUUUUUUUCAUACAUGCCUCAUGA